UACGGGGGGUGCGAGCGUUGUCCGGAAUUACUGGGCGUAAAGCGCGUGUAGGCGGCUUGGCAAGUCGGGUGUGAAAGCCCUGGGCUCAACCUAGGAAGUGCACUCGAAACUGCCUCGCUUGAAUGCCGGAGAGGAAAGCGGAAUUCUCGGUGUAGAGGUGAAAUUCGUAGAUAUCGAGAGGAACACCGGUGGCGAAGGCGGGUCUCUGGGCCGAUACUGACGCUGAGGAGCGAAAGCGUGGGGAGCGAACAGG
rnacentral:rRNA from 1 species